UGAAAAUUGUAUUGACUUUUAUUCACACAUUGCUUGUUUUAAAAAAAUAAUUUCAAAGUCUACAGUAUACAUAACUAAUAGUAAAGAUAAUAUUUAUCUGCACAUAAACAUAAACUUCAGACAUAAACAAAAAAAUAAUUACAUUGUCAAAAAAGUUUUUUUCUCAUAACAGAAAUAUAUUGCUUACAAAAGUGAGAGGAAAAUAUUGACCUGAUAAUCUUUAUCACAGAAUUUCCUUGACUAAAGACGUCUGUAAAAGAGUGACUACAAUUCAUUACAUUUUCUAAUUAUAUAAAGAAUUUUUUAAGCAAAAUGAAAUGUACCGGUAUCCACGUAUUUUCAUGUGAAUCUUUGUCAUUAACUGUGUAAGUACAAAUAGUUAAUAGUGAACAAAUUGUGAAACAUUUUCAUUAUGAGAAUUUUGGACCAAAUAUAAAGAACAGGUAUCACAUUAUCCUGUGAAAGGUGAAAGCAUGAGGUCAGGUGAGAGAAUUCUUGAUGUUACUCCAGAUUGUAUAGCUAUGAAAACAUGAAGUGAAGAUUCAAAAACAUUCAGCAGUCUUGGAAACUACUAGAAAGCUCUUGGAUGAAUAAAGUUCAGAAAACAAUGCCCCUCCUACAGCAGAGAUAAAAAUGUAAUUCUCCUACAGCAGAGAUAAAAAUGUAAUUAUUCUCCUACAGCAGAGAUAAAAAUGU